GUCCCCAUAGCUCAAUUGGAUAGAGCGCAGCCCUCCGAAGGCUGAAAUCCCCGUUCAAAUCGGGGUGGGGGCA
rnacentral:tRNA from 1 species